rnacentral:rRNA from 1 species
AGCAGCCGCGGUAAUUCCAGCUCCAAUAGCGUAUAUUAAAGUUGUUGCAGUUAAAAAGCUCGUAGUUGAAUUUCAGGCCUGGCUGGACGGUCCGCCCUUCGGGUGAGUACUGUCUGUGGUCGGGUCCUACCUUCUGGCGAAGCGUCAUGGCCUUAACCGGCCGUGGCGGGGAACCAGGACUUUUACUGUGAAAAAUUAGAGUGUUCAAAGCAGGCAAUCGCUUGGAUACAUUAGCAUGGAAUAAUGGAAUAGGACAAUGGUUCUAUUUGUUGGUUUCUAGGACCGUUGUAAUGAUUAAUAGGGAUAGUUGGGGGCAUUAGUAUUCAAUUGUCAGAGGUGAAAUUCUUGGAUUUAUUGAAGACUAACUACUGCGAAAGCAUUUGCCAAGGAUGUUUUCAUUAAUCAAGAACGAAAGUUAGGGGAUCGAAGACGAUCAGAUACCGUCGUAGUCUUAACCAUAAACUAUGCCGACUAGGAAUCGGGCGAUGUUGACAAAAU